CUUCUGCUAAUUGGUUUCUGUCUAGCCACUCAACAGUCUCGUCAAUCGCCUUCUCGAUCUUCUGUUUAUCUGCUGGAUUAAGUUUUCCUCCGAUCUUCUCGUCCUUCACCGUGUUUCUCAUAUUGUAAGCGUAAUUUUCAAGUGAGUUUUUAGCUUCUACCUUCUUCUUCACCUGUUCAUCUUCUGCUUUGUACCUCUCUGCUUCCUGAACCAUUCUAUCAAUCUCAUCUUUGCUUAAUCUUCCUUUGUCGUUUGUAAUCGUAAUCUUGUUUUUCACACCAGCAGUUUUAUCCUCUGCAGAGACAUUGAGGAUUCCAUUCGCGUCGAUGUCGAAGCAGACGUUGAUCUGAGGAACACCUCUCGGCGCCGGCGGGAUUCCGGUGAGUUCAAAUUUUCCGAGCAGAUUAUUGUCUUUCGUUCUAGCUCGUUCACCUUCGUAGACCUGGAUUAACACUCCGGGUUGAUUAUCAGAGUAAGUUGAGAAAAUCUGCUCCUUCUUCGUCGGGAUCGUCGUGUUCCUCGGAAUCAAAACCGUCAUUACCCCGCCGGCGGUUUCGAUUCCGAGACUUAGAGGAGUAACAUCGAGAAGGAGAAGAUCUUGAACCUUC
rnacentral:lncRNA from 1 species